UACAGAGGUCCCGAGCGUUGUUCGGAUUCACUGGGCGUAAAGGGUGCGUAGGUGGCGUGUUAAGUUUGAUGUGAAAGCUCAGGGCUUAACCCUGAAAUGGCAUUGAAUACUAGCGUGCUGGAGGUUUGGAGGGGGGACUGGAAUUCUCGGUGUAGCAGUGAAAUGCGUAGAUAUCAUGAGGAACACCAGUGGCGAAGGCGGCAACCUGGACGGAUACUGACGCUGAGGUGCGAAAGCGUGGGGAGCAAACAGG
rnacentral:rRNA from 1 species